rnacentral:rRNA from 1 species
UACGGAGGGUGCGAGCGUUGUCCGGAAUCACUGGGCGUAAAGGGCGCGUAGGCGGCCUGAUAAGUAGAGGGUGAAAUCCUGCGGCUUAACCGCAGGGCUGCCUUCUAAACUGUCAGGCUAGAGCGCAGUAGAGGCAGGUGGAAUUCCCGGUGUAGCGGUGGAAUGCGUAGAGAUCGGGAAGAACAUCAGUGGCGAAGGCGGCCUGCUGGGCUGUUGCUGACGCUGAGGCGCGGCAGCGUGGGGAGCAGACAGG